CACGUAGGCACCAAGCGUUGUCCGGAUUUAUUGGGCGUAAAGAGCUCGUAGGCGGUUCAGUAAGUCAGGUGUGAAAUCUUUGGGCUUAACCCAAAGCGUGCACUUGAUACUGCUGUGACUUGAGUUCGGUAGGGGAGUGGGGAAUUCCUAGUGUAGCGGUGAAAUGCGCAGAUAUCAGGAGGAACACCGGUGGCGAAGGCGGGUCUCUGGGCCGAUACUGACGCUGAGGAGCGAAAGCGUGGGGAGCGAACAGG
rnacentral:rRNA from 1 species